rnacentral:rRNA from 1 species
GACGAACGCUGGCGGCGUGCUUAACACAUGCAAGUCGAGCGGUAAGGCCCUUUCGGGGGUACACGAGCGGCGAACGGGUGAGUAACACGUGGGUGACCUGCCCUCAGCUCUGGGAUAAGCCUGGGAAACCGGGUCUAAUACCGGAUAUGACUCCAUGACGCAUGUUGUGGGGUGGAAAGCCUUGUGCGGCUGAGGAUGGGCCCGNGGCCUAUCAGCUUGUUGGUGGGGUNAUGGCCUACCAAGGCGACGACGGGUAGCCGGCCUGAGAGGGCGACCGGCCACACUGGGACUGAGACACGGCCCA